GGAUAAUUGUUUGUUUGUUUGAUUAAUUGAUUGAUUACUUAGUUGAGGCUUUCACUGAGACUGAAGCCCACCGACUGACUGACUAGUGAGAUUCCAGGAUUCUCUUGUCUCUGCUUCUUAGUGCUCAGACUUCAGGUGCAUCCACAGCAACUGACUUCAUGUGUGACUGCUGGAGAUGACUCAUGAUUCGUAACUGACCCCUGACACACUGAGCAUCUACUUAGCCUCUAAAGAUUAUUAUGUCAUUCCUCUCACUAUUUUACAGACUAUGAACAGACAGGGAUCUUUAAUAAUUCUGAUCUACUAUCCUUCACCAUGUGAUUUAAAACUAACUUUGUUCACUGCAGAAUUUAGAUAAACCAACACACUCACUAAGAGGAAGAUAAUUUCAGAUCCCAAAGGUUCAUGGGGUAAUUUAUGAGAUCCUUGAGAACUUUUUUUCUUUAUUAAGCUUAAUAGGACAACAGAAUAGCACCCAGGUGUGUAAAGCAGCUACAUCCUCAGCAGGCAUGAGUUUUCUGAAGUUCCCUUUUCUAAGUGCUGCCCAUUUUGAUGACUAAGAAAAACAAGGAAGCAAGUAAAGGUCUGUGGUGAGCUACACAUUUGAUCUUUGUGUAUGGAACUUGUGGCCUAUGUUCACACAAAACCCCAUUUCCUGCUUGAGGAAAGACACACAGGCAGUUCAUCUGCACACUGCCUGUUGCUCAGACUGAGAGCUGAGCUGGGACAGAACGGACACACUCAUGCAGAGGGACAAGUGCCACAUGCCUCCUCGGAGCCUGCUCUGUGUGCUGGUGGCCUUGGCUUUGUCUGGAUGUAAUGUGGCCCAGAAAGUGACUCAGGUCCAGUCAACAGCAAGCAGGCAGGAGGGGGAAGACAUCACCCUGGACUGUUCAUAUGAGACAAGUUAUGUCACAUAUUAUCUUUUUUGGUACAAGCAGCUUCUUAGUAGAGAGAUGGUUUUCCUUAUUCACCAAAUUUCUUCUUCUACUGCAGAAAAGAGGAGUGGCCGCUAUUCUGUAGUCUUCCAAAAAUCACUCAAGUCCAUCAGCCUUGUCAUUUCAGCCUCUCAGCCAGAGGAUUCGGGGAAGUAUUUCUGUGCUCUCAAAGAAUUGACACAGUGUUCAAAGUGACAGCACAAGCUGAACAAAAACUGGGGCUCCUUAAACAGAGCCCCUCUGAGGGAGGGAGUCCAGCUGAGACGCACACCUGCACAUGCUGAACAAGAAGAUUUCAACUGUGGAUGCCCCAUCUGUGGUCUGCAUCAGAACUGUGUUUCUAAGUAAAACCUCAGACCAUGCAAUUUAGAAAGAACUAUGGUGAGCGGCUUUCUAUACUACAUUGUCUUAAAACAGAGUUAAAAAUAGACCACUAAGAAUAUAUGUAAUAUUUUCUGCACUUGGGAGUCUUGCACUGCAAUAAUUUGAAGUUUCUCUUUAAUUUGUUAACAGCACAUAUCUCAGAGGAGGCAUCUGGAAUAGCAAAGAACAUAAUUUCAUGAAGAAAGUUGCACUCAGAGAAGGAGGUCCAGCAUGAAUGUAGUAGUCAAAGAUAGACUAUAAGGAUUUCUCUCAAUGAAAUACUGGUGGUGACUGGGUUACCCCACCAAUCUUUAUCUUUGUAUCUAGUACUGAGCCUGAGGUACUGAAGGUCAGCUUAACCAGCAGUUGGG
rnacentral:lncRNA from 1 species